rnacentral:rRNA from 1 species
GGCCCCUGUCUGCUCGGUUUUGGGUUGGGGUGACCGCGGAGCAUAAAAUAGCCUCCACGAAAGAAGGGAUGAUUCCCUCAUUUUAGAACUACACUUCCAAAGACUAACAAAUUAAUUUUAAGUGAUCCGAUACCCGUAUUCGAUCAACGAACCAAGUUACCCUGGGGAUAACAGCGCAAUCUACCUCAAGAGCCCCUAUCGACAGGUGGGUUUACGACCUCGAUGUUGGAUCAGGGUAUCCCAGUGGUGCAGCAGCUACCAAAGGUUCGUUUGUUCAACGAUUAA